rnacentral:misc_RNA from 1 species
UGCGUGCGCGCGUGUCUGGGUGCGUGGAUGGGUGGAUGUUUGGAUGGAUGGGUGCAUGGAUGGGUGGAUACAUGGAUGCAUAACAGUAUAUUCCUGCUUGAACAAAAAGCUAAUAAUAUAACUGGUCCAGCUUAUAUCUAGUCUCACCCGACACAAAUAAUCGGUAUUACAAUUAUGUUAGCUUUGAAUAUGCUUUUCGAUGGAAAGGAAUGAUAAGAAAUCAGUUUAUUUAAAACUACAAAGUAUUCCGUUCCUAUUUUCUUACCAUGAAGAUCUCAAAUACCUUGUACGUGACUUUAACUUGAUAUUUAUCCAAUAUGUCUGUAGUUUUACGGAAACAUAUCAGUAUACACGUGUAAUAUGUAUCUGUAUAUUAUACAUUCAUCAUAAUUCAUAUGAUUGUCAUAACAAACUGACCAGCACAUAUUCGGCGUCAAGUCCAAAUCUGCAAGAUGACCAAUGCAACGAAUACUUACACUGGUUACUAAUACAGAAAAUUGAAUUGUAUAAUAAAUGCUUAAUUAAUUGUUUAUUAAGAACAAUAGGAUAGUAUUAUGAAUAUAACUGGAAACGUAAUCUUCCGUCUCACAGAUCAUGUCUACAAGUGAAGAGAUGUUUCUUAUUAACGCCCGGGAACACAAGACUCGAAGUUUAAAGAAAUUGCUAUUAAGUCUCUGAUAUAUUCUUUCAUAAUCACCGGAGUUUCCAUGGAGUGAUGAUGAUUUGGAGAUUUUACGUGUGCAUUCCUCUGGGAAGCCUAUUUCGCACACGGUCGAACUGCGUUGAGGUGCAUGCGGAUCGUCUUAAUCAAAUAAACGACGACAAAAGCAAACACAUUAAGUGAUCGUGAUAUAGAAUUCUUUAUAAAUAUCUGACAAAUCUGUUAACUACAAAAUGUGAACAUUUCUCAGUAAAAAGCAAAAAGCAGUGAAUAUUACAGAAAUUGAUCACUGAAAGUCAGCAUACCUCGGGCAUUAAGGAAGUAUCGCUUUCCCUCUAUAUUGCUUUCCCACUGCUUUGCUUUACCACAAUAUGUACAUUAUAUAUAUCACUUUGUCACUUCCGUGUUUUGCUAUGUAUACACUUUCGUCCUCUCCAUAUUCACUCCAAAGAUUUCAUUUUCAUUGUAUAAAUUGUCUUCGUCACGAUAUGGCUGAGAUAUUGCCGAUGUGACGUUAAAUAUUAACUCACUCACUUACUCACUAACUCACUCUAAAGAGUGAAAAAUUGUUUAUAGCAAAUGUGAAUAGAACAGCAAAUGCACAUAUACCGUAUUAUCUGUACAACUAAUUUAUUCUCGGAGAACAUUUGAUAGCAAGUUUUAUCACCGAAAUAUGUUUAGCAGUACCAUCUGUCAAAAAAGUUUCACAUUAUCUGUAAUUCUGAAUGACUUUUGUUGUAGAAAGUAAGUAUGAUUUUAUGCUUGUUUUCCAAGGCUUAAAUGCAAUUCAUAUAUCAAUCGUUUAACAUGCUCAUCGAAAUUGAUUUCACAGACUGGCGUGUUUCAGAAUUAUGCGGAUGUGACACGGUUUUCAGGAUUCGGUAUGUAAGUAUAGCAUGUGAGGUCACACAAUGCGAUACCUACAGUGGUCAGUGUGGAGUGGUCCCUCCUGCCUUCAGCCAGACGCAGCGUUACCAGAUCCAGGUCCUGUAACAACCGCCUUCCCAGCAAUGGUGGCACUUCCUGUCCUGUGAGAACAAUAUCCUGUCCUGUGAGAACAUCUUCCUGUCCUGUGAGAACAAUAUCAUGUCCUGUGAGAACAACUUCCUGUCCUGUGAGAACAAUAUCAUGUCCUGUGAGAACAACUUCCUAUCCUGUGAGAACAACGUCCUGUCCUGUGAGAACAAUAUCCUGUCCCGUGAGAACAAUAUCCUGUCCUGUGAGAACAAUAUCCUGUCCUGUGAGAACAACUUCCUGUCCCGUGAGAACAAUAUCCUGUCCUACGAGAACAACUGGACAAGUGGACGAGUGGUCAGUGCACGGACAGGAUGACGAUGGACACAAUACGCACGUGCAAUAGUCCUGUGCCUCAGGACGGUAGUCAGCUGUGUUUAGGGCCGACGUCACAGACGGAAACAUCACCAAAGUCUUUAAAUGGCAUUUAGAACAUCACCGUGUAACAAGACGUGUUCAGCCAUUUUAUGCCAGACGAUGGUACUAACUACAGCAAACAACACCACCACGCCAACAUCAGCGACUACCCCCUCUGAUGGAAGUGAGAUGGCUGUGUCACUGUGCCUCCUGGUCGCCACUUCCUUGUUGCUGCUCAUCCAGUGACUGCUGCGUGACGUACCGUGACGUCUCACUCUGACGUCUUUCUGACUCUGGUCACUGACGUCUCCGGAUGUUUGUACCAGCCCUUGGACGGCAUCGGUGCUUUCAUGACGUGGGAAAGCCAUCUGCUCUGAAACACUGAUAGUAUCGUUGUCGUUUUUCUUUCAAACAAUUAAACGUUUCUUUUAU